AGGGUUUUGCACAAGAGUUUUCAUGAUUUGAAUGGCAAACAAGUUGAAGUGAAACCGGCCCUUCCUAAAGAUGCCAAUCCUGGUGGGGCUAGCCGGUCUAUGGGUGGUGGUGCCGGUGGUUUUGGAGGUUACCAGGGAUAUGGUUCUUCUGGUGGGAAUUCAAGUUCUUAUGAUGGUCGUAUGGACUCCAAUUACAUGCGUGCCCAGGGCACUGGAGCUGGCUUUCCACCUUAUGGUUCAUCAGGAUAUGCACCUGGUUAUGGUUAUGGUCCUGCUAGUAAUGGUGUUGGUUAUGGUAGUUAUGGCAAUUAUGGUGGUGCAGGUGCUGGUUAUGGUGCCCCUGCCGGUGCAGCUUAUGGG
rnacentral:lncRNA from 1 species